rnacentral:lncRNA from 1 species
CCCUGGCGAAACACACACCGCAUGUGAGUUUUAUGACCGGCUCAAAGUUAGCUUGGCGUGAAGAAGAGACUGAACGAUGACGAUGACAGGAAGAGGAGAGGUGGCACGACUGCAGGGAUAUAUAAAUAUGCACAUGAACUGACUGACUUUGGGGGCGGGUUCGGGUGACAGCAGCUGAUACCGGAACAAUGACAAGGAAGAGACCAUGCUUUCGCUUCGACCGCUGGCAUUGGGUUUGCUCAGGUAACUGGUACAGUCUCCAUGGUGUCACCGCCACAGUACUCAUGCUCGGUUCCGC